AGCAUCUAAGCGUAAGCUUAUGUGGAGCAAACUUUAGUGUAGAUCUUGGUGGUAGUAGCAAAUAUUCAAAUGAGAACUUUGAAGACUGAAGUGGAGAAAGCUUCCAUAUGAACUGUGUUUGUUUAUGGGUUAGUCGAUCCUAAGAGAUAGGUUAAUUCUCAUAGAAUGUCUAUUGCUUUAUUGCAAUCACCUAUCGAAAGGGAAACAGGUUAAUAUUCCUGUACCAAAUCAAGGAUAAGUAAAAUGGUAACAUAAAAGAACCUAGAAACGUCUAUGGAAAUCCUGGGAAGAGUUCUCUUUUCUUUUUAACAAUCUGUGUAUGGUUUACUAUGCAUGUAAAAGACCUUGGAAUCAGUUCAGCUGGAGAGAAGGUUUAAAGAUUGGGUAAAGUAACUCAUUCUUUUGAGUUAUCCGGUGUAUUUCCAGUAGGCCCUUGAAAAUCUAGGGGAAUAAGUUAUUUUCUUGAUUGUUCGUACUCAUAACCGCCGCAGGUCUCCAAGGGUUAGAAGCCUCUAGUUUAAUAGAAUAAUGUAGGUAA
rnacentral:rRNA from 1 species